rnacentral:rRNA from 1 species
UACGAAGGGGGCUAGCGUUGUUCGGAAUUACUGGGCGUAAAGCGCACGUAGGCGGCGAUUCAAGUCAGAGGUGAAAGCCCGGGGCUCAACCCCGGAACUGCCUUUGAAACUAGAUCGCUAGAAUCUUGGAGAGGUCAGUGGAAUUCCGAGUGUAGAGGUGAAAUUCGUAGAUAUUCGGAAGAACACCAGUGGCGAAGGCGACUGACUGGACAAGUAUUGACGCUGAGGUGCGAAAGCGUGGGGAGCAAACAGG